rnacentral:rRNA from 1 species
AGUGAACGCUGGCGGUAGGCCUAACACAUGCAAGUCGAACGGCAGCACAGUAAGAGCUUGCUCUUACGGGUGGCGAGUGGCGGACGGGUGAGGAAUACAUCGGAAUCUACUUUUUCGUGGGGGAUAACGUAGGGAAACUUACGCUAAUACCGCAUACGACCUACGGGUGAAAGCAGGGGAUCUUCGGACCUUGCGCGACUGCACGAGCCGAUGUCGGAUUAGCUAGUUGGCGGGGUAAAGGCCCACCAAGGCGACGAUCCGUAGCUGGUCUGAGAGGAUGAUCAGCCACACUGGAACUGAGACACGGUCCAGACUCCUACGGGAGGCAGCAGUGGGGAAUAUUGGACAAUGGGCACAAGCCUGAUCCAGCCAUACCGCGUGGGUGAAGAAGGCCUUCGGGUUGUAAAGCCCUUUUGUUGGGAAAGAAAAGAAGCAGGUUAAUACCCCGCUGUUCUGACGGUACCAAAAGAAUAAGCACCGGCUAACUACGUG